rnacentral:lncRNA from 1 species
AAGAUUUCUGGUGAAUUUUGGGCAAAGUGAAAAGGGAUUUCUAUGUACUGUGGGUUAAGAAAAUAGGUAGUGAAAGAAAAAUAUGUCUCUUGAAAGUAAUAUUUUCUGCUAAUGAUUGCAUAAAAUGUUUUUUUUUCUGCCCUGUUUUCAGCAUUCUAUUUGGCUCCAAGUGCAGAUAGACAGAGUGGAAACCCUUCCAGUCUUGAAGGAUACCAGUUCUUGUAUCUAGAUUUUUCUAAGAAGAAAACACAUAGAAAUUCCUCUCCAGGCUUGCUUUUAGCAGUCUGGGCCCUUCCUGAGCUUUAAAAUUUACCUUUCCUGUCUUUACUAAAUUAUGAAGAGUUGUUUCACUUUUCAUCAAAUUAGCUCUUGGAAAUAUUUUUUUUUUCAUUAAAUUUUUUAUGUACUGGGAGCUUUCAAAGAAGAUUUCCACUGGAAAAUUGUUCUAUUGGCUGUAUUUUGACUAACCUGAAAAAGGACACUGACACUUGCUGUGAUAAGGAAUGGUAAGGGAGUCAAUUCAUACCAUCUAAUAUCAGCCUGGAAAUGAGGAACCUAAAUGAAGAUUUUAGCAGUAAUAAGCUUCCAUGCAGCUAAUGGAGCAAGAUGGGAUCUUGCAGAGAACUACUUAUGAGAACUGCAUGUGUGUGAAUUUGGUAGAUAAAGAGGCAACUUCAGGGUUUAUGAAUCCUUUGGUGCUACAGAAGUGGAGAUAUGUCAUCAAUAUUGUGUCUUUAAUGCUCUUCCCCAGGGAUGAAAAAAGGCUGUGGUUUCCUCUCAGAAGAUGCCAUCCCUUGGGGGCUUACACACGUAUUAUGUGCAUCCAUGAACUUUCUCCUGACUGUGGACAUGUUCUUGUGAGUGAAAAAGAUGAAGAGAAUGUUUUUCUUUUAGCUGAAGAAAGUUGCAUGGCACAAAGAUAUCAUAACAGCAAAGCAGAGGGACUGUCUGGAAGAGGUAAAUGCAAUGCCUUCUACAGAAGGGGAAGAGUUAAAUGAGAAAUCUGUGAUGUCUAUAGAAGUACUUAUGACCCCAGCACAGGUUUAUUGACAGUAGCUGAAAUGCAAAUUAUAAAUGUUGUCACAAACACUCCUAAAAACCAGAAAAACAAGUAUUUCAAAAGCCGAACAAAAUGAAAUCAAACUAAAAAAAGCCACACAAUCCUUUUUGGUCCCCAUCUAACUCUCUGAAGAAACUUUACCAGAAUUAUUUCCUUACAGAUCUGCUCCUGUGUGUUGUUAGGGUGUCUUCCAACAGCACGACAGAGGAACGCAAUGACUCUCACAUCUGUUGGGCCGUUAUUGUUCCGUGUGUGUGGGUGACAGUGGCGCUUGAUGAUGCACGGCAGUGACGCAUAAUGGCCUGGUGACGGGAGUGGGCUGGCUUCUUCCCCCUGUCACUGGGAGUCUUUGCAACUGUGACUCUGCUGGGUGAGGAGAAGAAAAAGAAAUGUGGAUUAUAUUUGGCAGAGCAGUGCUAUAAUCAACCUUAAGUGCAAGCAGAA